UACGUAGGGGGCAAGCGUUGUCCGGAUUUACUGGGCGUAAAGAGCGUGUAGGCGGCCACGCAGGUCCGUUGUGAAAACUGGAGGCUCAACCUCCAGCUGUCGACGGAAACCGUGUGGCUAGAGUCCGGAAGAGGAGAGUGGAAUUCCUGGUGUAGCGGUGAAAUGCGCAGAUAUCAGGAAGAACACCAAUGGCGAGGGCAGCUCUCUGGGACGGUACUGACGCUGAGACGCGAAAGCGUGGGGAGCGAACAGG
rnacentral:rRNA from 1 species